UGUAUGCAGUUUUUCUACUGACCAUCUUGAACUUUUAAGGUGAAUUAGAAGUACAUUUUUAAAUAAUUUGGAAACCUUGACAUAAUUUAAAACAGUUCACAGAAACUUGUUUGCCUCCUUCCUUGUUGUUUGUUCUUUCUUUCAUAGGCUCUUACUCCUUUUAGGUGCAGCUGCACUUUGCUGAAGUUGCAAUUUUUUUCUUUAGUGUUGUUGGUUGACCCAAACUAGUUAAAAAGAAUAAUUGGGACUCUGGUAGGAUAAAAAUAGACGAGAAAAAUGCUAUGCAUUAGACACUACUUCCACUUCAGCAUCUUUAACAAUGUAUGCCUAGUCUCCAAGGCCUUUGUUUUAUCUACUUUGUUUUAUCAAUGCAUUCCAUUUCAGUAACGGUGGUAAUACUUCAGUGCAUCCUAAUGGCUUGGGGUUCUUUUGUGUGCAUUAAAAAAAUUAUGGAUGACCCAAAUGCAGACAUCUGGUCCAAGCUGGCAAAAGCAGGAGCAAAUCCCAUGCGUGCAUGCCUACUCAGAAAUAAACUUCACUCAGAAAAGUGUGUGGCAUAAUUUGACAACACUAAUUAACACCAGUUGCAUAAUGGAACUCUGAAGACAUAUGAAAAGCGAAAGGGGUUAAAGAAUGAGUGACAUUCACAGGAGAAUUUUCAUGAGCUACAUAAGACACAACGUCUGCUGUUCCCUGAUGGCCUAUAAAGUGGGUGGGUCUCUCAGCAUUGCAUCAUCUGAUGCUACAUUAAAAAUUAACUCCAGAGGUAAGAUAGUUCUCUUGCACCAAGGAUGGAAAACUUGUGGGCCUCCAGAUGUUGUAGGACUGGAGGUCCUAACAGCUCCAACCAGAAUGAUGCCUUUUCAUCUUGAACUGCUGUUUCAGUGUUGACAUCAGCCUUUCCGUUCUUGCCAAGUACUUGUGGAUUAGAUAUUAGACCAGGACUAAGGGACCAGCUAUUUGUGCAUUUUGUAAUUUUAUAACUAUGUAACUUCGCUACUUAGUUGAUUUUUUUUACACUAUGUUAUUUUAUUGUUGGUUUUUAUUGAUUUUAGUCUAGCCUAGAUUUAUUGUAACCAUCAGGAGUAAUAUUUCUACUGUGCCAGCAAAACUCCAGUAAUCGCAAGUCUCUUUUCCAUGCUGGAGAAACUGGACUUGUUUCAUCUCUCCUUCCAAAACAACAGCUAUAAAUUAAAAGACAAAAGUACUCUAUUCUUCAAAUAAUGCUUUUACAAUAAAAAAUAAUUACACAACAAUCUUUUAUACUUUACCUGCAGAUUUUCACAUGUUUCUUGACUAUAGGUGAUUCUCUGGAUUUCUGUAGGUGAGACAAGGUACAAAGCUUGCCCAUUGUUGGUGAAGCAAAAUGUUCUGGCUAUCCGCAUGUUGGUAAGCGGGGUUUGUCUCCUGCACUGGGCAAUCUUCCUCCUCCCUAGAGGCACCUGCCUGCAUCUCUGUUCCAGCACAGUCCACUCAAAGCUUCUGAUCCCAGAACAUAUCACUGCAUAUUGGUUUUCACUGAUUUCCUGAGAGGAGGAUGGAGACACUGAGACAGGCCGGCGUUUCUUCACCUUAUCCU